rnacentral:rRNA from 1 species
CACGUAGGGCGCGAGCGUUUGUCCGGAAUUAUUGGGCGUAAAGAGCUCGUAGGCGGCCUGUUGCGUCCGCUGUGAAAGCCCGGGGCUUAACCCCGGGUCGGCAGUGGAUACGGGCAGGCUAGAGGUAGGUAGGGGAGAAUGGAAUUCCCGGUGUAGCGGUGAAAUGCGCAGAUAUCGGGAGGAACACCAGUGGCGAAGGCGGCUCACUGGCCCGGAACUGACGCUGAGGCACGAAAGCGUGGGGAGCAAACAGG